GCCGGCGUGGUGAAAUGGUAGACACGGCAGACUCAAAAUCUGCUGGGGGCAACCUCGUAUGAGUUCAAGUCUCAUCGCCGGUA
rnacentral:tRNA from 1 species